AAUCUGGCUUACAUUUACACUAAUAACAGACAACUGUGUUUUUAUGAAUGAUUUUGUUAAUAUAAUUUAAUUUCUUUUAAAGAUGGGAGUGUGCAAAUAUUUAUUUGUUUUAAAAUGGCAAAAUAUACAGAUUGUUUUUAAGUUCUUCACAUAACUUGCCAUUAUCUUGAAUUUUUUUAUGAAUACAUUCAUGACUAUCCAGCCAUCUUCAAAUGUAGCCCUCACAAUCUUUUUUUUUUUUUUUUAAAUAAUCCACUUGUCCGUAAUUGCAAAUGUUUUAAUGAACAAGUGAAGAGAAGAGCUUGUAUGCUUUCUGGCCAUGACUUACUGUAACUUGAUUUUUCUGUCUGAACUUUGUGAUGUAUAUGGUGGGAAUGUUCUGUGUGUUAAUUUAAUCAGCACAAUUCACUGACAUGCUGGACUGAAAUGCUAGCUGCUGUUCAGAAGUGUAAAACUUGUCAUUCAGGGCAACAUUUAUAGUUGUCUUUGGUACUUUGCUUUUUAGCGUUGUUUCUUAAGCAACACUGUGUGUGGCUCUUCUAUCACUGGAGCCGAUGGUUUCAAUUUGCUGGCAGCCUGAUAACGUUUUCUUAAAAAAAAAACAUGUCUUUUUCC